rnacentral:rRNA from 1 species
UCUUUAUAUUUGCUUGGUUAAAAUUUUUAAUUAGGGAGUAUUUUAUUGGGGUGAUAAAAAAAUUUAAAAAACUUUUAUAAAUUUUAUUCAUUGAUAAAUGAUUUAUUUAUAUUUAUGAUCUAUAAAUUUGUAAAUUAAGAUUAAGA